CUAUAUAUACCCUGUAGAACCGAAUUUGUGUGAAAAAAUAACAUUCACAGAUUCGAUUCUAGGGGAGUAUAUGGU
rfam:Danio rerio chromosome 9, GRCz11 reference primary assembly.